rnacentral:pre_miRNA from 1 species
AGUGGAAUAGCUGGGUCAAAUGGUGCUUCCAUUCCAAGUUUUCUGAGGGACCUUCAUACUGCUUUCCAGAGUUAUUGCACCAAUUUUCAGUCCCACCAGCAAU